rnacentral:rRNA from 1 species
GGUAUAUCCGGGGAAGGGCCCGUGUGAGUGCGGUGGGUGGAAGACUUAAUCGGAAUUACUGGGCGUAAAGCGAACGCAGGCGGUUGGAUAAGUUAGAUGUGAAAGCCCCGGUCGCAACCUGGGAAUUGCAUUUAAAACUGUCCAGCUAGAGUCUGGUAGAGGGGGGUAGAAUUCCAGGUGUAGCGGUGAAAUGCGUAGAGAUCUGGAGGAAUACCGGUGGCGAAGGCGGCCCCCUGGACAAAGACUGACGCUCAGGUGCGAAAGCGUGGGGAGCAAACAGGAUUAGAUACCCGAGUAGUC